rnacentral:rRNA from 1 species
CAGUCGCCAGGUAAUACGAAGGGGGCUAGCGUUGUUCGGAAUUACUGGGCGUAAAGCGCACGUAGGCGGAUAUUUAAGUCAGGGGUGGAAUCCCAGAGCUCAACUCUGGAACUGCCUUUGAUACUGGGUAUCUUGAGUAUGGAAGAGGUGAGUGGAAUUCCGAGUGUAGAGGUGAAAUUCGUAGAUAUUCGGAGGAACACCAGUGGCGAAGGCGGCUCACUGGUCCAUUACUGACGCUGAGGUGCGAAAGCGUGGGGAGCAAACAGGAUUAGAUACCCCCGUAGUCCCUGUCUCUUAUACA